rnacentral:rRNA from 1 species
UACGUAGGCAGCAAGCGUUGUUCGGAAUUACUGGGCGUAAAGAGUGUGUAGGCGGUGCUCUAAGUUCGGUGUGAAAUCUCCUGGCUCAACUGGGAGGGUGCGCCGGAAACUGGGGUGCUGGAGCGCGGGAGAGGAAAGCGGAAUUCCUGGUGUAGCGGUGAAAUGCGUAGAAUAUCAGGAGGAACACCGGUGGCGAAGGCGGGUCUCUGGGCCGAGUGAUUGACGCUGGAGG